CCUACGGGUGGCAGCAGUGGGGAAUAUUGCACAAUGGGGGAAACCCUGAUGCAGCGACGCCGCGUGAGUGAAGAAGUAUUUCUGUAUGUAAAGCUCUAUCAGCAGGGAAGAAAAAAGACGGUACCUGACUAAGCCGCCCCGGCUAACUACGUGCCAGCAGCCUCGGUACUUCGCAGGGGGCACGCGUUAUCCGGAUUUACUGGGUGGAAAGGGAGCGUAGACGGCGAGGCAAGUCUGAAGUGAAAGGGAGGGGCUUAACCCCUGAACUGCUUUUGAAACUGCCAUGCUAGAGUGCUGGAGAGGUAAGUGGAAUUCCUAGUGUAGCGGUGAAAUGCGUAGAUAUUAGGAGGAACACCAGUGGCGAAGGCGGCUUACUGGACAGUAACUGACGUUGAGGCUCGAAAGCGUGGGGAGCAAACAGGAUUAGAUACCCUGGUAGUC
rnacentral:rRNA from 1 species